AACGAACGCUGGCGGCAUGCCUAACACAUGCAAGUCGAACGAGACCUUCGGGUCUAGUUGCGCACGGGUGCGUAACGCGUGGGAACCUGCCCUUAGGUUCGGAAUAACUCCCCGAAAGGGGUGCUAAUACCGGAUAAUGUCUUCGGACCAAAGAUUUAUCGCCUUUGGAUGGGCCCGCGUUGGAUUAGCUAGUUGGUAGGGUAAAAGCCUACCAAGGCGACGAUCCAUAGCUGGUCUGAGAGGAUGAUCAGCCACAAUGGGACUGAGACACGGCCCAGACUCCUACGGGAGGCAGCAGUGGGGAAUAUUGGACAAUGGGCGAGAGCCUGAUCCAGCAAUGCCGCGUGAGUGAUGAAGGCCUUAGGGUUGUAAAGCUCUUUUACCCGGGAUGAUAAUGACAGUACCGGGAGAAUAAGCUCCGGCUAACUCCGUG
rnacentral:rRNA from 1 species